UUAGCUGAAACCAAAAAGAGGUAUAUUAUUGUUAAUAAUAAAAUUGAAUAAAUAUUCCAGCUAAG
rnacentral:tRNA from 1 species